GUGCUUAGGGGCCGCCACUGCCAGAUCUAUAUCAUGAAGCUGAUGGGUUACAGCAACAAAGUUAGCCCCAAAUUCAAAGUAUGAUGCAUAUCAGUAUUUAAAGGGACUUGCCAUUAAGGUGUGUCCAUACUGCUAAGGAGUCAAGAACCAUGCAGACACAAAUGAGAGUCUUGCUGGGCCUCCUGUGGCUACAGACUUGCUGGGUAAGAGUCCAGAUGAACGUGGAGCAGAGUCCUGGGGUCCUGAACCUCCAAGAGGGGAGAAAUACCUCUAUGAUGUGCAAUUAUUCUAGCAUCAUAACCAGUGUGCAGUGGUUCCAACAAAAUCCUGAAGGACACCUCGUAUCCUUGUCGUUCAUCACUUCUGGAAUGCAGCGAAAAGGGAGACUAAUAUUCACGCUCAACUUCCAGGAACGUAAUAGCCACCUGCAUAUCACAGACUCGCAGCCUGGGGACUCAGGCACUUAUUUCUGCACUGUGGAGGCACAGUGCUCUGCAGACACCUGUGGCCUGUACAUGAAGCCAUAGCUGGAGA